rnacentral:rRNA from 1 species
UCCUACGGGGGGCAGCAGUAGGGAAUCUUCCACAAUGGACGAAAGUCUGAUGGAGCAACGCCGCGUGAGUGAAGAAGUGUUUCGGCACGUAAAGCUCUGUCAGCAGGGAAGAAAAUGACGGUACCUGACCAAGAAGCCCCGGCUAACUACGUGCCAGCAGCCGCGGUAAUACGUAGGGGGCAAGCGUUAUCCGGAUUUACUGGGUGUAAAGGGAGCGCAGACGGCAGCGCAAGUCCGGGGUGAAAGCCCGCGGCCCAACCGCGGGACUGCCCUGGAAACUGUGCGGCUGGAGUGCCGGAGAGGUA